UGCAGAAAAGCAUCUGUGUCUAAAUGGCAUCUUCAUGUUCUAGCACUUGGUUUCUUUAUGCCUUUCAGUUCCUGUGCUUCCCAAUGGACUCGAGUUUUUACUAUGUGAGCAUCCCUGUGCCUGCACAGCAAAGGACUCUCACUGGGUUCCACACGUGCUGCACAGAUCCCUGACACUGUAUUAACUGAACCUCAACUGCAGGAGCUUCAUUCCUGAGGAUGCUGUUACCAACAAUGACUUGCCUCUUGAAGAAUGAGUUUGCAAAGCCGGCAGUUACAUUGCUGAUGUCCAAAGACAUGGAAAUUUCCACGCUGACAAAUCAUUUCACUGUCAUUGGUCAAGACUCCAGGAUGAUAUUCUGAGCCGUAUGUUAAUUUUGACACCACCUAGAACAAUAAAAGGUAAACAUGCUACCAUCUUCUAUUCUCAUUGCACCACUGGAUUCUGCUACAUCUAAAAAUUGUACUUAAAUGAUAUCCAAGAAAUGCUGUAUAAAAACAAAAUAGGGCCAGGCGCAGUGGCUCACACCUGUAAUCCCAGCAUUUUGGGAGGCCAAGGCGAGCAGAUCAUGAGGUCAGGAGAUCAAGACCAUCCUGGCUAACACGGUGAAACUCCGUCUCUACUAAAAAUACAAAAAAAUUAGUCAGGCAUGGCGGUGGGUGCCUGUAGUUCCAGCUACUCGGGAGGCUGAGGCAGGAGAAUGGCGUGAACCCAGGAGGCGGAGGUUGCAGUGAGCUGAGACCGAGCCACUGUACUCCAGCCUGGGCGACAGAGCAAGACUCUGUCUCAAAAUAAAUAAAUAAAUAAAAUAAAAGAAUGGGCUUUUCUGUUAUUAAUUCCAUUUUAUACAUGGUGAGACUGAAAUGCAAGAUAAAGGACUGGACUGAAGCUAAACGAAGCUGCACUGGGCAAAGUUGAAAAAGACCUUUUUAAUCUGUAAGUCAGUUUUUGAAAAUUUAAGUUUCUACUUUAUAAUUUUAGUUUCCCUUUUAAACAUAUAUUAUUUUUAGUUGCACUAUUCAAAAAGUUUUACAGCUUCUAUUUCAAUCAGCACUGAUAUACUAAUAUUUUUAAGUAUCUCCUAUCUAAAACCAAAAUCUACAUAAAACCUAAAAGUACCAGGUAAUAAAGGACAACAGAGCAAGACUGUCUCUUAAAAAAAGAAGUAUCACAUAAUAGGAAUAAAUAUGAGGACAGAAAGUAAUAAUAUUUUUGAAUUUCUGAUUAAACUUUGCACUUAACUUUAAAAUUUUUUUCGAAAUAUUAUGAAAACCAGGUUCUGAGACCAGCCACAUGAAAUAAACCUUUUCCUGCCCCAAUUUUCACAGCCUCUAGAAAAUAGUAGGUACCAGGGAAAAGAUUAAUACAUCUAAAAAAAAAAAGAUACAAAUAUAUCAACUAUAUUUAACUAUAUCAACUAUAUUUAGUACCCUAUAGGUCAUUUAAUUUUCUAGCCACCAAUAAAUUCCAUAUUUUAUUAAAUUAGUCAAAUUUUGAAAAAUGUCAAUAUUACUGUAUAAAUCAUCAUAUAAGUCCUUUUAGUAGAUAUAUCAAUUUAGAGGAUGGUCUUUAGCAAAAAAAGUAAAGUAAAAGGAUUUAAUAAAGGUCCAAAUAGCAGACAUUCUAGGGCAGGCAGCCUUCUACAGUAGCCCAUGCAUGUGAAAGUUAAUCUAAUUAGUUGAUCUAUAAAGUUAAAUAACCAAACUCUCCUUUGCUUAACCCAUUGCCAGAAAGGCCAGUGUUGUUAAUUUCGUUUUUUAAACAAAUAAGCAAAAAAGAUAAAUUCUAGAGGAUUAGUUUUUCAUAAGUAGGGUAUGUGCUACUUUAUUGGAAAAUGAAGAAAUGUAUCUUUCAACUCUGCUUCCUUCAUUGCUUUCCCAUGUUCCUAAUAUUUAGUCACAUUUUAGGUUAGAACUUUCAGGAAGUGAGUUUUUACACAGAAAUUAGUGCUAUAAACAGCCCUUAAAAUAGGAAUUUAAUCGUACUUAUUUAAAAAAUAUAUAUAUAUAUAUAAUCUUACCAACCCAGAAAGACAUUUGUGGUUAAAUGUGUUCUCUGGCAUUUUAUAAACUAAGAUGAUACUGGAAGGAAAAAGCUAAAUCUUAAAUACAUAAACAACAUAUUUACACUGUGAUAUGGUUUAGAUCUGUGUGCCAAAGCCGAAUCUCAUAUCAGAUUGUAAUCCCCAAUGUUGGAGGUGGGGCCUGGGAGGAGGUGAUUGGAUUGGAUCAUGGGGGCGGAUUUCCUCCUUUGGUGCUGUUCUGGUGAUGGAGUUCUCACUAAAUCUUGUUGUUUAAAAGUGCGUGGUAGGUACCUCCCUUCCCCAGCUUCCUCCUGUUUCAGCCAGGUAAGACAUGUCUGCUUCCCCUUUGCCUUCUGCCAUGAUUGUAAGUUUCCUGAGGCCUCCCCAGCCAUGCUUCCUGUACAGCCUGCAGAACCAUGAGCCAAUUAAACCUCUUUUCUUUAUAAA